UACGUAGGGAGCAAGCGUUGUCCGGAAUCAUUGGGCGUAAAGCGCGCGUAGGCGGCCCCAUAAGUCCGCUGUGAAAGUCAAAGGCUCAACCUUUGAAAGCCGGUGGAUACUGUGGGGCUAGAGUACGGAAGAGGCGAGUGGAAUUCCUGGUGUAGCGGUGGAAUGCGCAGAUAUCAGGAGGAACACCGAUGGCGAAGGCAGGAUCUCUGGGCUGACACUGACGCUCAUGCACGAAAGCGUGGGGAGCAAACAGG
rnacentral:rRNA from 1 species